rnacentral:rRNA from 1 species
UACAGAGGGGGCAAGCGUUGUUCGGAAUUACUGGGCGUAAAGGGCGCGUAGGCGGCCUUCUAAGUCGAACGUGAAAUCCCUGGGCUCAACCCAGGAACUGCGUCCGAUACUGGUUGGCUUGAAUCCGGGAGAGGGAUGUGGAAUUCCAGGUGUAGCGGUGAAAUGCGUAGAUAUCUGGAGGAACACCGGUGGCGAAGGCGACAUCCUGGACCGGCAUUGACGCUGAGGCGCGAAAGCGUGGGGAGCGAGCCGG